CGAGGAGCUUGCUCCUCUGACGUUAGCGGCGGACGGGUGAGUAACACGUGGAUAACCUACCUAUAAGACUGGGAUAACUUCGGGAAACCGGAGCUAAUACCGGAUAAUAUAUUGAACCGCAUGGUUCAAUAGUGAAAGACGGUUUUGCUGUCACUUAUAGAUGGAUCCGCGCCGCAUUAGCUAGUUGGUAAGGUAACGGCUUACCAAGGCAACGAUGCGUAGCCGACCUGAGAGGGUGAUCGGCCACACUGGAACUGAGACACGGUCCAGACUCCUACGGGAGGCAGCAGUAGGGAAUCUUCCGCAAUGGGCGAAAGCCUGACGGAGCAACGCCGCGUGAGUGAUGAAGGUCUUCGGAUCGUAAAACUCUGUUAUUAGGGAAGAACAAAUGUGUAAGUAACUAUGCACGUCUUGACGGUACCUAAUCAGAAAGCCACGGCUAACUACGUGCCAGCAGCCGCGGUAAUACGUAGGUGGCAAGCGUUAUCCGGAAUUAUUGGGCGUAAAGCGCGCGUAGGCGGUUUUUUAAGUCUGAUGUGAAAGCCCACGGCUCAACCGUGGAGGGUCAUUGGAAACUGAAAAACUUGAGUGCAGAAGAGGAAAGUGGAAUUCCAUGUG
rnacentral:rRNA from 1 species